rnacentral:siRNA from 1 species
GGGGGUAGUCAGGCCGCCUGC